CAGGAUGUGAANUCCCCGGGCUCAACCUGGGAACUGCGUUNUGAACUGGGUGACUAGAGUGUGUCAGAGGGAGGUAGAAUUCCACGUGUAGCAGUGAAAUGCGUAGAGAUGUGGAGGAAUACCGAUGGCGAAGGCAGCCUCCUGGGAUAACACUGACGUUCAUGCUCGAAAGCGUGGGUAGCAAACAGGAUUAGAUACCCUGGUAGUNCACGCCCUAAACGAUGUCAAUUAGCUGUUGGGCAACUUGAUUGUUCAGUAGCGUAGCUAACGCGUGAAAUUGACCGCCUGGGGAGUACGGUCGCAAGAUUAAAACUCAAAGGAAUUGACGGGGACCCGCACAAGCGGUGGAUGAUGUGGAUUAAUUCGAUGCAACGCGAAGAACCUUACCUGGUCUUGACAUGUACGGAAUCCUCCAGAGACGGAGGAGUGCCUUCGGGAACCGUAACACAGGUGCUGCAUGGCUGUCGUCAGCUCGUGUCGUGAGAUGUUGGGUUAAGUCCCGCAACGAGCGCAACCCUUGUCAUUAGUUGCCAUCAUUUAGUUGGGCACUCUAAUGAGACUGCCGGUGACAAGCCGGAGGAAGGUGGGGAUGACGUCAAGUCCUCAUGGCCCUUAUGACCAGGGCUUCACACGUCAUACAAUGGUCGGUACAGAGGGUAGCC
rnacentral:rRNA from 1 species